CAGCCGCCGCGGUAAGACAGAGGAUGCAAGCGUUAUCCGGAAUGAUUGGGCGUAAAGCGCGCGCAGGUGGUUUAAUAAGUCUGAUGUGAAAGCCCACGGCUCAACCGUGGAGGGUCAUUGGAAACUGUUAAACUUGAGUGCAGGAGAGAAAAGUGGAAUUCCCAGUGUAGCGGUGAAAUGCGUAGAGAUUAGGAGGAACACCAGUGGCGAAGGCGGCUUUUUGGCCUGUAACUGACACUGAGGCGCGAAAGCGUGGGGAGCAAACAGGAUUAGAUACCCGCGUAGUCCCUGUCUCUUAUAC
rnacentral:rRNA from 1 species